AUGAAAUUAUUAGACCCUAGUCUUCAUCUUCACGGCAUCGUAGGAGGUCCAAGGCUGGGGCCGCUGAGAUCGAGGACAAGGGUAAGGGGAGGCGGAGAAUCACCACUGGGGCGGAUCUUGGCGAGGCUUUGUAGUGCUGCCUUCACGCUGUGCCUUCUUAGAGUUAAGCCAAUCUCUUAAUCCAUUGAUGGUUUACCCUGUGCUGGAGGCUGGAGGCUGGAGGCGUCUUUGGUGACCGGGAGGAGGAAUGUGUUCGGCAAGGAGAUGGCUUGAGCAUGGAACCGGUGGAUCAGAGAGACAAUGAAGAAGAAAAAGAAGAAGAAAUAGCUGCAGCCGCUCCGAGAAGCCAUGGAUGAUGAGAGAGAGUGAGUGAGAGAGAGAGAGAGAGAGAGUAUGAGGAGGAGCUGUGAUAAGAGAAAAGGCUAUGUAGUGAGGAAGUUUGGACACAGUUGUCGAUGAGAGAGAUAAGGAGGGGGGAGUUUUCUUGUACUUUAUAUUAUUUUUUUUUAAAUAAUAAUUAUUUAUUUAUUUUAUAAUUAAACAUGCGAUUUGACUCAUCGAACUCCAAACCAUGAACCAAUAUCUC